AGCUUUUAUCAGAUAUCAGCAGUUGUCUUUCAUGAGGGGGAAGAGUGAGGAAGGUAUCAAAGAAUAGCAGACUUGUGAACUUGAGACAGUUUUGAGUGCUUGAACUUACUCUUUCAUUUUACUUCAUCCUCCAAGGAGUGCAAUCACUUGGCGUGCCUACUUCACUUCUUUUAAGCGAAAGAACAGCAAACAGGCAAC
rnacentral:other from 1 species